GAUAUGGGGAGCCUUAAUUGGCUGAGAGGAGCUUUGUCUCGACCCACGGACCUGAUUUGGGUAAUGCCAACGUAGGGAUAUGUAUUUA
rnacentral:ncRNA from 1 species